UCUCAGUUCGGAUUGAAGGCUGAAAUUCGCCUACAUGAAGCUGGAGUUACUAGUAAUCGCAGAUCAGAAUGCUGCGGUGAAUGCGUUCCCGGGUCUUGUACACACCGCCCGUCACACCACGGAAGUUGGGGGCGCCCGAAGCCACUUAGCUAACCCUUUUGGGAAGCGAGUGUCGAAGGUGAAAUCAAUAACUGGGGUGAAGUCGUAACAAGGUAUC
rnacentral:rRNA from 1 species